UACGUAGGGUGCGAGCGUUAAUCGGAAUUACUGGGCGUAAAGUGUGCGCAGGCGGCAGAGCGAGUCGAGUGUGAAAGCCCCGGGCUUAACUUGGGAAUUGCGCUCGAAACUACUUUGCUGGAGUGUGGCAGAGGAAGGUGGAAUUCCACGUGUAGCGGUGAAAUGCGUAGAGAUGUGGAGGAACACCAAUGGCGAAGGCAGCCUUCUGGGCCAACACUGACGCUCAUGCACGAAAGCGUGGGGAGCAAACAGG
rnacentral:rRNA from 1 species